GACGUCGAAUAUCGACGUCAUAAACACCAAAGUUGAUCAUGUUUAUGACGUCGAAUAUCGACGUCAUAAACACCAAGCUUGUUCGUGUUUAUGACGUCGAAUAUCGACGUCAUAAACACCAAAGUUGAUCUUGUUUAUGACGUCGAAUAUCGACGUCAUAAACACCAAAGUUGAUCGUGUUUAUGACGUCGAAUAUCGACGUCAUAAACACCAAAGUUGAUCGUGUUUAUGACGUUGAAUAUCGACGUC
rnacentral:miRNA from 1 species